GAGACGCCGCCCUCGCGGUCAGUGCCACCACCACCACGCCGCCGGCCAGGGGAGGGAGGGGAGCCUUCGGGAGCCGCGCUGGUCCUGCAGAGGCAGGGUCUGAGGCCGGACGCUGCCCCGGAGUGCAGGUGCACCCAGGCACUCAUGCCGCCGGUCCCUCCAGGCACCUCCUCGACCCCAGGCAAGUUGGAAGCCUGGGUGAGGAAAUGGAAUUGGGGCAGAAGCAGGCGGCACAGCAACUGAGAGGGAGUCGUUGCUGAGCGGGAGAGACUCGCUGUGUGGCUGCAGGAGCAUUCCCCAACCUCUUGGGGCCUUGGCUUCCCUGGGACACGGAGCAGAUAAGGAGUGGGCAAAGGACUCAGGCACCCUGGGAACCAGACAAGAAUCCAUCUGAGCGGGAGCCAUGGGCACGCCUGCUAUUUUAAGCUUCUGAAGAACAACAACAACACAAAUUUGUCACUGAGCCAAAGCAAGAGGCCCCCAAGUCGCCCAGGAGGAGCCCCGAGGCGACUGCCACCAUCAAUUGUGCCUGACAAUUCCAUCUUGCUGGGUGCCUGCUGCAGUCAGAAAGCACAUGGUGCUGGGAGGUCAGAGGCCAGAGGCCAGAGAUCAAGCUGGGCAGAGGCUCCAGGAACCAGGAUCAGGGAUGACACGGUUAGCACCUGGAGAGACCCUGGUGGACGGUGGAGGAGGGAGUCCAGAGAAUGCAGGAGGUGACUCUGGGAGUUCCCCGCCUGACCACUGGGUCCAGACUGGCCUGGGGAGCCUGAUCAGACACCAGGGGCAUCUUUUCAGAAGUUCUCCCCAUUGUCUAACCUGAACCUUCCCACCAAAGCAGGGUCUGAGAAGGUGGGACACAGGCUGGAAGGCAGGGGAGCGAUAACCAUUCUUCCCUUCCACCUGUAAGACUCAAAGACUCCAGCCUUCUUUUCUCAGGUAAACCCACCCAUCCACCUGGAGCGACAAGGUUUCAGCGCAGCCCCAGGCUCCUGAACUCGAAUCUUCUCUGAUGCUGUGGCAAACGCGGGCCAGCUAUGAACGAUACCCCUCCUGAAUAAUCCCCAUGCUGGAAACAGUCUAUUCCUCAUUGAAUUCUCAGAGACACCUUGUGGGGUCGCUCUCUCCCAUUUUACAGGACCACCAGCCAGCCAGGGCUUGGACACCUCCAGGAACAGAGAACUCAUCACCUCCAAGGCAUCAGUCAUCUUGUGGGGCUCUUCCUUCCUCAGGAUGAGCCAAGGUCUGCAGCCUUCCCUUCAGAGCAGGGUGGAGGCUCCUGAACCCCAAUCUUCUCUCCAGAGCCCAGCAUCACAGGUCUUCCCUUCUGUGGCCCAGUUUCAGCCCCCAGCCACCUGCCCUGCUCUCUGUUGGGUGAGCCCCAUGUUGUCACCACCCCUCUUGGUGGCCUUCAAAACUGCUCCAAUCAUUCACAUGAGGUCUGAGCA